GUUGUAUAGUUAAGUGACUAAGCGUACAAGGUGGAUGCCUUGGCAAUCAGAGGCGAAGAAGGACGUGCUAAUCUGCGAAAAGCUUGGAUGAGUCGAUAAGAGGCGUUUAAUCCAAGAUAUCCGAAUGGGGAAACCCAGUAGAUGAAGAAUCUACUAUCAACAAGUGAAUUCAUAGCUUGUUGAGGCAAACCGGGAGAACUGAAACAUCUAAGUACCCCGAGGAAAAGAAAUCAACCGAGAUUUCGUCAGUAGCGGCGAGCGAAAGCGAAAGAGCCAGUAAGUGAUAGCAGUAUAGUGAGGAGAAUGUGUUGGGAAGCACAAUCAAAGAGGGUGAUAAUCCCGUAUCUAAAAACCAUAUUGUGGUACUAAGCUAACGAGAAGUAGGGCGGGACACGUGAUAUCCUGUUUGAAGAAGGGGGGACCAUCCUCCAAGGCUAAAUACUCCUGAUUGACCGAUAGUGAACCAGUACUGUGAAGGAAAGGCGAAAAGAACCCCGGUGAGGGGAGUGAAAUAGAACCUGAAACCUUGUACGUACAAGCAGUGGGAGCCCCAUCACUUAAUCCGAUUGGAAGGUGAUGAAAAGCAACCGCACUUAAACAAUGGUAAGAGGAGCGAAGCGAGUCAAACCACCCAAAAGAAGCAGUGGGAUUAAGUGAUGGGGUGACUGCGUACCUUUUGUAUAAUGGGUCAGCGACUUAUAUUUUGUAGCGAGGUUAACUGAAUAGGGGAGCCGAAGGGAAACCGAGUCUUAACUGGGCGAGUAGUUGCAAGGUAUAGACCCGAAACCCGGUGAUCUAGCCAUGGGCAGGUUGAAGGUUGGGUAACACUAACUGGAGGACCGAACCGACUAAUGUUGAAAAAUUAGCGGAUGACUUGUGGCUGGGGGUGAAAGGCCAAUCAAACCGGGAGAUAGCUGGUUCUCCCCGAAAUCUAUUUAGGUAGAGCCUUGAGGUGACACCUUUGGGGGUAGAGCACUGUUUCGGCUAGGGGGCCAUCCCGGCUUACCAACCCGAUGCAAACUACGAAUACCAAAGAGUGAUACUCAGGAGACACACGGCGGGUGCUAACGUCCGUCGUGGAGAGGGAAACAACCCAGACCGCCAGCUAAGGUCCCCAAGUCUAUAUUAAGUGGGAAACGAAGUGGGAAGGCUUAGACAGCUAGGAUGUUGGCUUAGAAGCAGCCAUCAUUUAAAGAAAGCGUAAUAGCUCACUAGUCGAGUCGGCCUGCGCGGAAGAUGUAACGGGGCUGAAAUAUAGCACCGAAGCUGCGGCAUCAGAAGUGCGAAUGCUGACAUAAGUAACGAUAAAACGGGUGAAAAACCCGUUCGCCGGAAGACCAAGGGUUCCUGUCCAACGUUAAUCGGGGCAGGGUGAGUCGGCUCCUAAGGCGAGGCUGAAAAGCGUAGUCGAUGGGAAACAGGUUAAUAUUCCUGUACUUGGUAAAGCUGCGAUGUGGGGACGGAGUAGGUUAGGUUAUCGCACUGUUGGAUAUGUGCGUUUAAGUUGGUAGGUGGGAAGUUUAGGCAAAUCCGGGCUUCCUUAACACAGAGAGAUGAUGACGAGGCUCUACGGAGCUGAAGUAACUGAUACCACACUUCCAGGAAAAGCCACUAAGCGAAAGGCUUUACUAAACCGUACUGAAAACCGACACAGGUGGUCAGGUAGAGAAUACUCAGGCGCUUGAGAGAACUCGGGUGAAGGAACUAGGCAAAAUAGCACCGUAACUUCGGGAGAAGGUGCGCCGGCGUAGAUUGUAAGGGCUAGCCCCUGAAGGUUGAACCGGUCGAAGAUACCAGCUGGCUGCAACUGUUUAUUAAAAACACAGCACUCUGCAAACACGAAAGUGGACGUAUAGGGUGUGAUGCCUGCCCGGUGCUGGAAGGUUAAUUGAUGGUGUAAUCGCAAGAGAAGCACCUGAUCGAAGCCCCAGUAAACGGCGGCCGUAACUAUAACGGUCCUAAGGUAGCGAAAUUCCUUGUCGGGUAAGUUCCGACCUGCACGAAUGGCAUAAUGAUGGCCAGGCUGUCUCCACCCGAGACUCAGUGAAAUUGAAAUCGCCGUGAAGAUGCGGUGUACCCGCGGCUAGACGGAAAGACCCCGUGAACCUUUACUAUAGCUUGACACUGAACAUUGAAUUUUGAUGUGUAGGAUAGGUGGGAGACUUAGAAGUAGUCACGCCAGUGAUUAUGGAGUCGACCUUGAAAUACCACCCUUUAACGUUUGAUGUUCUAACGAAGAUGACGAAACGUGGUCUCGGACAGUGUCUGGUGGGUAGUUUGACUGGGGCGGUCUCCUCCCAAAGCGUAACGGAGGAGCACGAAGGUUUGCUAAUCACGGUCGGACAUCGUGAGGUUAGUGCAAUGGUAUAAGCAAGCUUAACUGCGAGACAGACAAGUCGAGCAGGUACGAAAGUAGGUCAUAGUGAUCCGGUGGUUCUGAAUGGAAGGGCCAUCGCUCAACGGAUAAAAGGUACUCCGGGGAUAACAGGCUGAUACCGCCCAAGAGUUCAUAUCGACGGCGGUGUUUGGCACCUCGAUGUCGGCUCAUCACAUCCUGGGGCUGAAGUAGGUCCCAAGGGUAUGGCUGUUCGCCAUUUAAAGUGGUACGCGAGCUGGGUUUAGAACGUCGUGAGACAGUUCGGUCCCUAUCUGCCGUGGGCGUAGGAGAAUUGAUUGGGGCUGCUCCUAGUACGAGAGGACCGGAGUGGACGCACCACUGGUGUUCCGGUUGUGUCGCCAGACGCAUUGCCGGGUAGCUAAGUGCGGAAGAGAUAAGUGCUGAAAGCAUCUAAGCACGAAACUUGCCAAGAGAUGAGUUCUCCCAAUCUAAGAGAUUGUAAGGGUUGUUGUAGACUACGACGUAGAUAGGUCUGGUGUGUAAGUGUAGUGAUAUAUUGAGCUAACAGAUACUAAUUGCCCGAGAGGCUUAACUAUACAACGCUCAAG
rnacentral:rRNA from 1 species